rnacentral:misc_RNA from 1 species
AAGGAGUCUAACACAUAUGCGAGUAUUUGGGUGGUAAACCCGGAAUGCGUAAUGAAAGUGUUAAGGUGGGAUCUUCGGUGCACCAUCGACCGGUCUGGACCUUUUGUGAAAGAUCUGAGUAAGAGCAUAUUUGUUAGGACCCGAAAGAUGGUGAACUAUGCCUGAAUAGGGCGAAGCCAGAGGAAACUCUGGUGGAGGCUCGUAGCGAUUCUGACGUGCAAAUCGAUCGUCAAAUUUGGGUAUAGGGGCGAAAGACUAAUCGAACCAUCUAGUAGCUGGUUCCCUC